GUGGGGAAUUUUGGACAAUGGGCGCAAGCCUGAUCCAGCAAUGCCGCGUUCAGGAAGAAGGCCUUCGGGUUGUAAACUGCUUUUGUACGGAACGAAACGGCUCUGGUUAAUACCCGGGGCUAAUGACGGUACCGUAAGAAUAAGCACCGGCUAACUACGUGCCAGCAGCCGCGGUAAUACGUAGGGUGCAAGCGUUAAUCGGAAUUACUGGGCGUAAAGCGUGCGCAGGCGGUUUUGUAAGACAGGCGUGAAAUCCCCGGGCUCAACCUGGGAAUGGCGCUUGUGACUGCAAAGCUGGAGUGCGGCAGAGGGGGAUGGAAUUCCGCGUGUAACAGUGAAAUGCGUAGAUAUGCGGAGGAACACCGAUGGCGAAGGCAAUCCCCUGGGCCUGCACUGACGCUCAUGCACGAAAGCGUGGGGAGCAAACAGGAUUAGAAACCCUGGUAGUCC
rnacentral:rRNA from 1 species